rnacentral:RNase_P_RNA from 1 species
AAGCUAUACGGCAGCGGAUGCCGCCUUUGCGGCAGAUGAGGAAAGUCCGAGCACCACAGAGCAGGGUAGCUGAUAACAUCAGCCGAGGGCGACCUUAGGGAAAGUGCAACAGAAAUAAACCGCCGCGAAAGUGGUAAGGAUGGAAAGGCGAGGUAAGAGCUCACCGAAGCGCGGGAGACCGCGCUGUCGUGUAAACCCUAUCCGGUGCAACACCGAUUGGUUCAGCGUAUCAUAACGUCUGCUCGGCGGAUACGCUGUUAAAGGUGGCUUGAUCCUUGCGGCGACGCAAGGGGUAGAUAGAUUGCCGUACUCGACAGAACUCGGCUUACAGGCUUAGUC